rnacentral:sRNA from 1 species
GCUGGGCAUGGUGAUGCACACCUGAAAUCCCAGACACUUGGGAGGCUGAGGCAGGUGGAUCAUGAGUUCGAGGCCAGAGCCUUGGCAACUUAACAAGGCUCUCAGCAACUUUAGUGAGACCUUGCCUCAC